rnacentral:lncRNA from 1 species
AUUUUAUAGCAUCAGCAGAUGCACCCAUCUUUUCUUAAGCAUCUUAGGAAGAAGGGAAGUCCCUGUCCCUACGUAGUAAGCUGGUUAGCUGCAGAGACUUCUCUGCUUUGAUUGGAGAGAACUGGGUCUGUGGCAGCCUAACCCUAGAGAUUGACAGUGUCUCUCCCUGUCUCCAUACAAAGAUGUGCUGAAGACGCCCCUGCCACGCUGCUUGCCCAUUACCUGCUGCUAGUGCCAGGCAGACCCUCGGGGAACCACCUAGCCUUGGCUUGUGCUUGGUGAGUUGGGAUCUGUCUGCUCAGGAUCAGAAGAGCUCAAGAAACCACUGGUAAAAAGAGCAAUAAAUUACCAGGUGCUCUACAGGGCUGGGAAUCCAACCAGCAAGGGAAAGCAAGGCUCUGUGUUGUUUUUGUUUUGUUUUGUUUUUCUCAGCUGCUUUUACACAGGACCGUAGCCACCAGUGUGAAACCAACACAGAAUGGAAAAGAUCUGGGGCAAGAGGCUAGUGCUUUGCAAAGAGGCAGAAGGGAAAGUUCAGAGGAAACACAAUCCAAAAGGUUCUAAAACGGGAUUCAUAGAAACAAACCGAUUCCAUGGUAACUCUAGGUACCAGGAAGUCAGUACCAGCAAGUCUCCCAGAAGAUACCUUGGCGGCUGAAGCCGCCACUCCCGUUCAUGAUUUUCUUUACUUUAGUGUGGUCUCCAGUCCUCCAGGGGGGAUGUGUUGCUUUUCUGGUCUGGGGCCAAAGCCUGCCUGGGGUUGGUUUUUCACUCCUGUUACACAGUCCGUCUCCCAGGCCUGAGUUUCUUAGGGAGCCGAUUGUGUUUCAGAAGGUGGGCUUGUGCUUCUCCGCUACAUCCGUGCUCCAGAGGAUUGCAGGAGGCAAGACCCAACUCAAACAUUGCCCUAAUGUUUUCUCAGCUUUGACUCAGGAGAGAACAAUUUUACACUCCAGGACGGCAACAGGCCCCUUACUUGCUCAUUCUUGCUUUGAAUGUAUUUUAAUGUCUUGAAAGUUAUGAACAAUCUUCCCAGAGUCAGGUCUUUAUUUUCGAACUCUACACUGAUCUGCAGCUGCUGUGUUUAUACAUAGUCAUAGGUUCUGCACAUUCAUAGAUUUUUAAAUGACAGAAUCCCACAUUUCCUGCUCUUCCACAUUUAAAUAUAACAUUUAUUUAGUUUUUCUUUUCCUUUUUGGGAGUCCAGAAAUGAUACACAUAAAAUCACAAAAUGGUAUAAAUCUGUACAUUAUUUGAAUUGGGUGUUGGGACUAAGGACAGGGCACAGACCACCAGAAACGGUGUCAGAGUUCAUAUCGGUAAAAGACUAGAACUGGUCCGAAAUCACUACUUUCUGUGGAACAGAAAAGCAAAGCGCUAUUCUAAUCAGCAAGUGAUGGCAUCACUGAGCUUCAACUCCACGUGUGUGACUAUAAAACACCCUGUGGCCAAGAGCAGAUUGCCACUUCCCUUUCUCUGAAUUACUGCUUUCCCCGGUCAUUAACGUAUGGCCACAGCAUCCUGGGGUACAGGCCCACAGUGCAAGGCUCUGGAACAUUUCCAUCAACAUUAUCUCAUCAGGUUGCAGAAGAGCAGCUCAGAAUUCAGAGCCCAGGCAGAAGGGUGAUCACAGCACAUCCCUAUAGAAUUUCAGUGAUCUACGCUGAAUAAAUAGUGGAAUGUAACCUGUCAAGUAGAAAUAUUGAGCAAUCAGAUGGAAUGCAGUAAUUCAGUAAUCUUGCCAGCGUCAAGCUACCAAGAUCUUAGAUGUCAGAGUUGUAACUCAGAGGGUGAACAGACAAGCACAGGCUGCUGACUUGGUGCAUCCAGACCGCUUUGCUUCUACCCAGUACAAAUAUCCUCCCUUCAACAUUCUCAGAAUAGCUCCAGUUUGAAAUAAUUAAGUGGUGGUGUUCUUUGAAUUUCUAUAACCAAAUCGAUCUUAUUUUUUGUUUGGUGUAUCAUAGAACAACUAUGUGCCAUCAUGGCUGUGUAUCGCUGUAAUUAUCCACUGAACCAUCAUGACUGUUUCCAUAUUUUUGCAUAUUGAAUAUAACUCUUAUGGUGGUAGUCUGGUGAUGGGAACUGCCCUUCCUUUACUAGCAAGACCAGUCUUAUGGUAUUGAAAGGAUUCUUUCAGUCUGAGAGUAGAGUAGUUGAACACUCCUUCAUUACUUGCUUCCUGUAAAUCAAUUCUGUAGAUGAGACCCAUUUAAUGAAUACAUUUUCCCCCCCUCCACAUUGUAGAAGGAACCACUUUAUUUGUCAUGAUCAAUAAAUGUGUGAAUUGUUCCAAACCAUUAGAAGGAAAAGGUACGGUCUUCAGUCCCUGGAAAUGUUCUGGCUGUCGUCUUCACCUGACUCACACGUGGUGUGUAUUAACUUAAGUCGAGGGGAAAUAAGAAUAAACAGCGGAAAACACUUGAUGCUUUGCGUUCGCCGAGACUUCCCUGCAUGCAGUCUGCUGGGCCCCCUUAUGAGUGGUGGUUAACAGACCUGUCACAUAGCGUUGAGAGAGAACAGUAUAUCUGUGAAUGAAGGCUAAAAUUGCAAUCCUUUACCCUUUGAGGCAUAUUUCAGUUGAAAAAAACAACAGGAAAGAAAAAUUGUCUCAGAGGGCCACCGAGCUACCGAAUCACCAGGACUCAAGCCCGUUAAAUCAUGGUUGUUUGCUGGCCAAAGGCAUGGGCUAGACAACUCUAUCCCCCGUGCUGAAGUGCAGUUGUGCUGAGAGGGAAUCGUCUCCACAUUACUGCACUGCCUCUAGUCCUUCUCUGGGUAAAGCCCUGUCAGUGUUUCCAUGAUAAACUUCUAUUCUGGAAGGUUUUUAAUUUGACCAUAAAAAUGUGCCUCAGGCUGAAGUUUGCUAGUCAGGGCCUGUGCUGAAGAGUGAGGGGGGCACAUCUCACCCUUCUCCACUCCCGAGGAAAAGUCAACACAGAGACGUCUGGUACGUUGCCUUCAUUGUGAUCCCAGAGUCUUGGAAUGCACCAAGAUCCAAGAUGGUAAUUUUAACAUAAUUAUUCAAUUAUUCAUUUGGAUAUGUUCUUUUCAAAUUGGCUCACCUAACACAUAUCAUAAAAUAAUUUUUAUUAUUUU